AGGGCCCCCCCCGGAGUGGAGCCCGCGGCUUAAUUUGACUCAACACGGGAAAUCUCACCAGGCCCGGACACCGGAAGGAUUGACAGAUUGAGAGCUCUUUCUUGAUUCGGUGGGUGGUGGUGCAUGGCCCUUCUUAGUUGGUGGAGCGAUUUGUCUGGUUAAUUCCGAUAACGAACGAGACUCUGGCCUACUAACUAGACGUUGGAUCAUUUAUGGUCCUUCCCUGCUUCUUAGAGGGACGGGCGGCGUUCAGCCGCACGAGAAUGAGCAAUAACAGGUCUGUGAUGCCCUUAGAUGUUCUGGGCUGCACGCGCGCUACACUGAAGGAAUCAGCGUGUGUACCCUGUCCGAAAGGACUGGGAAACCCGUUGAACCUCCUUCGUGAUGGGGAUUGGGGAUUGAAAUUAUUCCCCAUGAACGAGGAAUUCCCAGUAGGCGCGAGUCAUAAGCUUGCGUCGAUUACGUCCCUGCCCUUUGUACACACCGCCCGUCGCUACUACCGAUCGAGUGAUUUAGUGA
rnacentral:rRNA from 1 species